rnacentral:tRNA from 1 species
GGUGGGGUAGCUCAGCUGGCAAGAGCGGCGGAUUCAUAACCCGCAGGUCCGGGGUUCAAGUCCCCGCCCCGCU